rnacentral:rRNA from 1 species
UACGUAGGGGGCAAGCGUUGUCCGGAUUCAUUGGGCGUAAAGAGCGUGUAGGCGGCCAGGUAGGUCGGUUGUGAAAACUCGAGGCUCAACCUCGAGAUGUCGGCGGAAACCAUCUGGCUAGAGUCCGGAAGAGGAGAGUGGAAUUCCCGGUGUAGCGGUGAAAUGCGCAGAUAUCGGGAAGAACACCCGUGGCGAAGGCGGCUCUCUGGGACGGUACUGACGCUGAGACGCGAAAGCGUGGGGAGCGAACAGG